GUUUAUUUCUUCGGACUACUUACAAGGUGCUGCAUGGUUGUCGUCAGCUCGUGCCGUGAGGUGUUGGGUUAAUCCCGCAACGAGCGCAACCCUCAUGUUAGUUACUACCAUUCAGUUGAGGACUCUAAUGAGACUGCCAACGACAAGUUGAGGAAGGUGGGGAUGACGUCAAAUCAUCAUGCCCUUUAUGACCUGGGCUACAAACGUACUACAAUGGCCAAUACAAAGAGAUGCGAAGCGGUGACGUGGAGCGAACCUCAGAAAGUUGGUCUCAGUUCAGAUUGAAGUCUGCAACUCGACUUCAUGAAGGCGGAAUCGCUAGUAAUCGCGGGUCAGCAGACCGCGGUGAAUACGUUCCCGGGUUUU
rnacentral:rRNA from 1 species